rnacentral:rRNA from 1 species
UACGUAGGGUGCGAGCGUUAAUCGGAAUUACUGGGCGUAAAGCGUGCGCAGGCGGUUCGUUAAGUUCGUUGUGAAAGCCCCGGGCUCAACCUGGGAACUGCAAUGGAAACUGGCGGGCUUGAGUGUGGCAGAGGGGGGUGGAAUUCCGCGUGUAGCAGUGAAAUGCGUAGAGAUGCGGAGGAACACCGAUGGCGAAGGCAGCCCCCUGGGCCAACACUGACGCUCAGGCACGAAAGCGUGGGAGCAACAGG